UCACUCAGCGUUUGUCUGUCUGUAUGAACUGCCUGAGAAAAGGCUAGACAUGGAAUUAAACACUGACGAGGGAAAGGUGGAGGAGAAAAUCACCAGACCUAAAUGCAAACAUGGGAUGACUGCACUCCUCCAUCAUCUUGUCCCCCUGCUCCUGGAAGGUGAUGAUGAUGAGAGCCACAAAAAUAUUGACAAAGAAGAAAGGAAAGACGACAAAAUAGAUGACAUAGAAGAUUGACAUCUCCAUCCUGUUGCCGUGGCUUGGACCUCUGUCCUCUUCUGUCACAUCCACGGAGUGCUGCAGGACCCUAGCAGAGCAGAGUAGAAGUCAGUUAACAAGGAUUGGACCUGGACAAACCUACAAGCACCACCAGGGGAAUAUUAACAAGCAAACUUAUGGACAGAUAAUGACAUUCAAAAUCUGUUUUGAAUGAAUCCCACCUUUCAUAUUUCCCUCAUCAAAGGUCAGAUUUGACCUUUACCAAAGAGAAAGACAGAUGUUGAACGGUUAUGACCCCUCUAAUGACCCCUCUAAGAGAGGAAAGUGAUAUUUUGCAAAGCUCCCCAUCAGUUUUAUCAGCCAGCAUGAGAACCGGCCUGACUCCAGUCUGACACUCACUGAGGCCAUCCCUCUCCAGUGGAGACCGUGAACAGCGUUAGCAAAGCCCAGAUGACGUUGUCGUAAUGAAACUCGUGCCUCUUCCAGUCUCUUUUCUUUACCUCUUUCUUAUCCUUCCCGUAAUCAAUGUAGUAACCCCUGGAAGGGGGGAAAAAAGAAGACAAGAAUUGUACAAACGUUACAUCAUCAUUACUUAAACCAUUAAAAGCAAAAGGCAUAAAUGUGCACACUCAACAAAAAAGGAAUGAAGAAAAAAAGAAAAACUAACAGGGUAAAGAAAGAAGAAACAAAUCAUAAACAGAAAAAAUAAAUGAAAUUAAAUCAGAAGGAUCAGAUUGAAAUCUAGUCAAAGUUCAAAAAGUAUGUAGGAAGAAGAAAAAAAUCAAGGUAAGAUUACUGGCAAUCUUUCUGUGUGUCCUUUGAACUGUCAGUACAGUAGAAAAACUUCCCCUUAAAGAGUUGCACAGCGAUGACGGCAAAGAUGAACAUGAAAAGUUUGUAGACAAUCAAGAUGUUGAAGACGUUCUUAAGAGACGUCACUACACAGUCGAACACCGCCUGGAGGAGAAAAAGACACAACAAACACUCGUUUCAGGUUUCUUCGGAGAUGCAUCAGGGUUUGCACUCAACAUGUAAAUGUUGAGUGCAAACCCUGCAAGUCUUUGGUUGAUGAUUCCUUUAUUUUAUUAAAUUAUGAUGUCAUCACAUAGGAAUUUAGCAAACUGGUUUGAAUAUUUGUGGGGAUAUCAAACAUCUGUGUUAUCUCAAACUAUUAGCAAAAGAUAACUAACUUUAAAUUUUGUUUUGUUUCUUUUGCAUAGCUUUUAAUUAUUUUUUAAUUAUAUCAACUAAAACCAUUGAGAAUAGUAAUCUAAUCAAAUACCGUACAUUAUCAAUAUGAAGAAAGGGUUUGUCCUUUGAUUAAAAUGAGAUG